CCUGAGGACGGAGUGGAGGUGCCAUGGCGGUUGCGGGCCCGCGUGUGGGGCUGGUUGGUCUGCGGGAGGACGAUGUUCCCCACCCGCGCCCCGGCCGGUGCAAAGGGGCCGUGCCCGUUCCUCGACGCUCCGCGUCUUCCUUUCCGGCCGCCCCGCGCGGUGUAUCCCCACCUUCUCAGAUUUAUCUGCUUGAUGUUCCGAUUGUCCCUGCAUAAGGAUGCAGAGGAGCGCAGAUGGUGGCAGAGUUCCUGAUAAUGAAACAACAGGUCAUCCGUUGGGCUCAGUGACCUCCUUCAUCAUGUUACUGGCUGCAGUGGACUUAGGAAUGCGGUGAACACAGGGGAUAGAGAAUGACUCAGAACAGAAAUCUCUAUGUCAGUCGGGAGCAGGCGUUUCAUCAGGUGAGUCCUGUGUUAUAGGUGCUGGGGUGAAUGGAGGCUUGGUGAGAGAUAGCAAUAAAGAAUCAAUUCUUUUUCCUAAUUUUAAAAUGUUUAACUUUCUACAGACUACUCAUAAACAUUUUGAUAGUUUUAUAAAGAUACAUGUAAGUUCCUUAGCAAAGUUAUUCACAUAACUCUGUUCCUUUGUGUUGUUAACCUUCAUUCAAAUUAGAAAGUUGAAUGCAAUGUCUGCAGAUUCUUAUUUUCUUAAUUGUGACUGUGUAUGGAGGAGAAGGGGCAUAGUACAUAGAACAAAGUGUAGAGCACUGGACAGCAAAUGACAGUCUGGGGAGCUCCAAGACCUCACUCCCACACAGAUACAUCAGUAAAACAACCAGGAUCUGCCUGAAUGAGCUGGGAUUCUAGCCCAGGGAACCCCAGAGGUGGGAACAAUGGGCUUUCUGCUCCCACCAUUGCCAGCCCUGGUAAGUGUUCCUAUUAGACCCAGGGAUGUGUGUGU